rnacentral:rRNA from 1 species
GGAUGGACUCGCGGCCUAUCAGCUAGUUGGUGAGGUAACGGCUCACCAAGGCGUCGACGGGUAGCCGGCCUGAGAGGGUGACCGGCCACACUGGGGCUGAGACACGGCCCAGACUCCUACGGGAGGCAGCAGUGGGGAAUAUUGCACAAUGGGCGCAAGCCUGAUGCAGCAACGCCGCGUGGGGGACGAAGGCCUUCGGGUUGUAAACCUCUUUUAGUAGGGAAGAAGCGAAAGUGACGGUACCUGCAGAAAAAGCACCGGCUAACUACGUGCCAGCAGCCGCGGUAAUACGUAGGGUGCGAGCGUUGUCCGGAAUUAUUGGGCGUAAAGAGCUCGUAGGCGGUUUGUCACGUCUGCUGUGAAAACCCGAGGCUCAACCUCGGGCCUGCAGUGGGUACGGGCAGACUAGAGUGCGGUAGGGGAGAACGGAAUUCCUGGUGUAGCGGUGGAAUGCGCAGAUAUCAGGAGGAACACCGAUGGCGAAGGCAGUUCUCUGGGCCGUAACUGACGCUGAGGAGCGAAAGCGUGGGGAGCGAACAGGAUUAGAUACCCUGGUAGUCCACGCCGUAAACGUUGGGCGCUAGAUGUGGGGACCAUUCCACGGUUUCCGCGUCGUAGCUAACGCAUUAAGCGCCCCGCCUGGGGAGUACGGCCGCAAGGCUAAAACUCAAAGGAAUUGACGGGGGCCCGCACAAGCGGCGGAGCAUGCGGAUUAAUUCGAUGCAACGCGAAGAACCUUACCAAGGCUUGACAUAUGCGAGAACGCUCUAGAAAUAGAGAACUCCUUGGACACUCGUAUACAGGUGGUGCAUGGUUGUCGUCAGCUCGUGUCGUGAGAUGUUGGGUUAAGUCCCGCAACGAGCGCAACCCUCGUCGCAUGUUGCCAGCACGUAAUGGUGGGAACUCAUGUGAGACUGCCGGGGUCAACUCGGAGGAAGGUGGGGAUGACGUCAAAUCAUCAUGCCCCUUAUGUCUUGGGCUUCACGCAUGCUACAAUGGCCGGUACAAAGGGCUGCGAAACCGCAAGGUGGAGCGAAUCCCAAAAAGCCGGUCUCAGUUCGGAUUGAGGUCUGCAACUCGACCUCAUGAAGUCGGAGUCGCUAGUAAUCGCAGAUCAGCAACGCUGCGGUGAAUA